rnacentral:rRNA from 1 species
GGCAGCAGUGGGGAAUUUUGGACAAUGGGCGCAAGCCUGAUCCAGCCAUGCCGCGUGUGNGAAGAAGGCCUUCGGGUUGUAAANNACUUUUGUCAGGGANGAAAUCCCUCNUGUUAAUACCGNNGGNUNAUGACNGUACCUGAAGAAUAAGCACCGGCUAACUACGUGCCAGCAGCCGCGGUAAUACGUAGGGUGCNAGCGUUAAUCGGAAUUACUGGGCGUAAAGCGUGCGCAGGCGGUUUUAUAAGCCAGAUGUGAAAUCCCCGNGCUCAACNUGGGAACUGCCUUUGUAACUGUCUGACUAGAGUGCGUCAGAGGGGGAUGGAAUUCCGCGUGUAGCAGUGAAAUGCGUAGAUAUGCGGAGGAACACCGAUGGCGAAGGCAAUCCCCUGGGCCUACACUGACGCUCAUGCACGAAAGCGUGGGGAGCAAACAGGAUUAGAUACCCCUGGUAGUCCACGCCCUAAACGAUGUCAANUGGNUGUUGGGAGNNNUNCUNCUNGGUAACGUAGCUAACGCGUGAAAUUGACCGCCUGGGGAGUACGGCCGCAAGGUUNAAACUCAAAG